rnacentral:rRNA from 1 species
CACGGGGGUUGCAAGCGUUGUCCGGAAUUACUAGGCGUAAAGGGCAGGUAGGCGGAUAGAUAAGUUUUUUGUCAAAGGCAACGGCUCACCCGUUGUACGGCAGGAGAUACUGUUUAUCUGGAAUGCGGUUGGGGAAGACAGAAUUCCUGGUGUAGCGGUGGAAUGCGCAGAGAUCAGGAGGAAUACCAAAGGCGAAGGCAGUCUUCUAAGCCGUUAUUGACGCUAAACUGCGAAGGUGUGGGUAUCAAACAGGAUUAGAUACCCUGGUAGUCCACACAGUAAACGAUAAUCACUAGGUGUCGGUGUCGUAGAGACUUCGGUGCCGUAGCUAACGCGAUAAGUGAUUCGCCUGGGGAGUACGAUCGCAAGGUUGAA